GUAUAACUUAGUGGCAGACGGGUGAGUAAUGUAUAGGAAUCUACCUAGUAGUACGGAAUAAUUGUUGGAAACGGCAACUAAUACCGUAUACGCCCUACGGGGGAAAAAUUUAUUGCUAUUAGAUGAGCCUAUAUUAGAUUAGCUAGUUGGUGGGGUAAUAGCCUACCAAGGCAAUGAUCUAUAGCUGAUCUGAGAGGAUGAUCAGCCACACUGGAACUGAGAUACGGUCCAGACUCCUACGGGAGGCAGCAGUGGGGAAUAUUGGACAAUGGGCGAAAGCCUGAUCCAGCCAUGCCGCAUGAGUGAAGAAGGCCUUCGGGUUGUAAAGCUCUUUUAGUGAGGAAGAUAAUGACGGUACUCACAGAAGAAGUCCUGGCUAACUCCGUGCCAGCAGCCGCGGUAAUACGGAGAGGGCUAGCGUUAUUCGGAAUCAUUGGGCGUAAAGGGCGCGUAGGCGGAUUAGUAAGUUAAAAGUGAAAUCCCAAGGCUCAACCUUGGAAUUGCUUUUAAAACUGCUAGUCUAGAGAUUGAAAGAGGAUAGAGGAAUUCCUAGUGUAGAGGUGAAAUUCGUAAAUAUUAGGAGGAACACCAGUGGCGAAGGCGUCUAUCUGGUUCAAAUCUGACGCUGAGGCGCGAAGGCGUGGGGAGCAAACAGGAUUAGAUACCCUGGUAGUCCACGCUGUAAACGAUGAAUGUUAAAUAUGGGAAGUUUACUUUCUGUAUUACAGCUAACGCGUUAAACAUUCCGCCUGGGGACUACGGUCGCAAGAUUAAAACUCAAAGGAAUUGACGGGGACCCGCACAAGCGGUGGAGCAUGUGGUUUAAUUCGAUGCAGCGCGAAAA
rnacentral:rRNA from 1 species